rnacentral:lncRNA from 1 species
CAAUAAUCUGCUUUUGGAGGUGGUCAGAUCACAUAAUCAGGGCUGAGCUCAAGAUGCAGAACAGGCUUGUGUGGGAGUGCUGGGCUAGCCUCCUGCUUUCCAGUUGCUGUGACGGUGGUAGAGAUGAGCAAGCACGUUGCGGAGACAGAACCAGAGAGCCUCCUUUCCCAUGUGGCUCUCUGGGCAGCUCAGCAGGUCCAGCUCAGGGCUGGAAUAGCCCUGUCCACUCCUCACCUCAUGUCCUCCCAUCUGGGAAGCCACCUUGCCUGUCCUGUCCUGGUUCCUCUGUCUCCUCCGAGGCUUUGCUGACAACUGCACCCGAGCAGGGUUCUGCUCAUCCAUUCCUCUCUGGCUCCCCAUUGCCAACAGCAUUGUCCAGACUUCCUGACUUGGCAUUCAAGGCUCUACAGAUAAGCUGCUUGCAGGCCUUCUUGCAGCUAUUAUCCUCAGACCUGCAACCACAGGUGAUGAGCUUCCUCACUAUUCCAGAGAGAUCCAGCAAAUUCCCACCUCCAGGCCUUUGCUAUGACUUGUCUCCUACCUGGAAUACAGUCUCAUCCACGUCUCCCUUUCCCUGA